rnacentral:rRNA from 1 species
AUUGAACGCUGGCGGAAUGCUUUACACAUGCAAGUCGAGCGGCAGCGCGGACUAGGGUAACUUAGCCUGGCGGCGAGCGGCGAACGGGUGAGUAAUACAUCGGAACGUACCCAAUCGUGGGGGAUAACUAUCCGAAAGGAUAGCUAAUACCGCAUAAGUCCUGAGGGAGAAAGCAGGGGAUCGCAAGACCUUGCGCGAAUGGAGCGGCCGAUGUCAGAUUAGCUAGUUGGUGAGGUAAAGGCUCACCAAGGCGACGAUCUGUAGCUGGUCUGAGAGGACGACCAGCCACACUGGAACUGAGACACGGUCCAGACUCCUACGGGAGGCAGCAGUGGGGAAUUUUGGACAAUGGGCGCAAGCCUGAUCCAGCCAUUCCGCGUGAGUGAAGAAGGCCUUCGGGUUGUAAAGCUCUUUCGGCAGGGAAGAAACGGCCAUGGCUAAUAUCCGUGGCUAAUGACGGUACCUGAAGAAGAAGCACCGGCUAACUACGUG